UACGUAGGGGGCAAGCGUUGUCCGGAAUCAUUGGGCGUAAAGAGCGUGUAGGCGGCCAGAUAAGUCCGCUGUGAAAUCUCGAGGCUCAACUUCGAGCUGUCGGUGGAAACUGUCUGGCUAGAGUCCGGAAGAGGAGAAUGGAAUUCCUGGUGUAGCGGUGAAAUGCGCGGAUAUCAGGAAGAACAUCCGUGGCGAAGGCGGUUCUCUGGGACGGUACUGACGCUGAGACGCGAAAGCGUGGGGAGCAAACAGG
rnacentral:rRNA from 1 species